rnacentral:rRNA from 1 species
UACGUAGGGGGGCAAGCGUUCGUCCGGAUUUAUUGGGCGUAAAGAGCGUGUAGGCGGCUUUACAGGUCCGUUGUGAAAACUCGAGGCUCAACCUCGAGACGCCGGUGGAAACCGUAAAGCUAGAGUCCGGAAGAGGAGAGUGGAAUUCCUGGUGUAGCGGUGAAAUGCGCAGAUAUCAGGAGGAACACCCGUGGCGAAAGCGGCUCUCUGGGACGGUACUGACGCUGAGACGCGAAAGCGUGGGGAGCAAACAGG